GCCCAUCUGUGUGUAGAUAGUGUUCAGUACCAAGGACAGGCAUGUUAACCUGUGUGUAGAUGGUGUUCAGCACCAAGGACAGGCAUGCCCAUCU
rnacentral:pre_miRNA from 1 species